UACAGAGGGGGCAAGCGUUAUUCGGAAUUAUUGGGCGUAAAGGGCGCGUAGGCGGCCUGGCAAGUGGAAGGUGAAAUCCCUCGGCUUAACCGAGGAACUGCCCUCCAAACUGCUUGGCUUGAGUCCGGGAGAGGUGAGUGGAAUUCCCAGUGUAGCGGUGAAAUGCGUAGAUAUUGGGAGGAACACCAGUGGCGAAGGCGGCUCACUGGACCGGAACUGACGCUGAGGCGCGAAAGCUAGGGGAGCAACAGGG
rnacentral:rRNA from 1 species